rnacentral:rRNA from 1 species
UACAGAGGUCCCAAGCGUUGUUCGGAUUCACUGGGCGUAAAGCGCGUGUAGGCGGCUCUGUAAGUCGGGUGUGAAAUCCCACGGCUCAACCGUGGAAGUGCACUCGAAACUACAGGGCUAGAGUCCUGGAGAGGAAGGUGGAAUGCUUGGUGUAGAGGUGAAAUUCGUAGAUAUCAAGCGGAACACCGGUGGCGAAGGCGGCCUUCUGGACAGUGACUGACGCUGAGACGCGAAAGCGUGGGGAGCAAACAGG